rnacentral:rRNA from 1 species
GACGAACGCUGGCGGCGCGCCUAACACAUGCAAGUCGAGCGGAGUUUUUAAGUGGAAGCUUUCGGGUGGAAAUUUUGAAACUUAGCGGCGGACGGGUGAGUAACACGUGAGCAACCUGCCUUUCAGAGGGGGAUAACGUUUGGAAACGAACGCUAAUACCGCAUGACACCGAGACGUCACAUGGCGAUUCGGUCAAAGGAGCAAUCCGCUGAAAGAUGGGCUCGCGUCCGAUUAGAUAGUUGGCGGGGUAACGGCCCACCAAGUCGACGAUCGGUAGCCGGACUGAGAGGUUGAUCGGCCACAUUGGGACUGAGACACGGCCCAGACUCCUACGGGAGGCAGCAGUGGGGGAUAUUGCACAAUGGAGGAAACUCUGAUGCAGCGACGCCGCGUGAGGGAAGAC